rnacentral:tmRNA from 1 species
GGGGCUGUCUUGGUUUCGACAUUUAAUAUUGAGUAAGGUAUGAUCAGGCCGAAGUUUGUAUUCUUCGUAAAAAUCUGCAAAAAUAAAAUUAAUAAAUGCUAAUGUUAUAAUUUCGUUUGUAGUUAAUGCAGUAAAUAAUGUUAAAACUUUAAAUACAUUAAAAUUUGCUGUUUAAAAACUAAAUAAAUUUUUAAUAAAAAUUAUUCACUAUUUCUAGACUUUUUUAGUUUAAAUAGUUUAGACUUAUAUAAUAUUGUAAUAUCUGUUCUUUUGAACUAAGCCUGUGAAUAAAUACGUUAUACAAUUUUAAAUGGACGUGGGUUCAACUCCCAUCAGCUCCA